AAUUUUGUGCUCAACGUCUCAGUACCAGCAUGAAAGUUGAGCCGCAAACUCCCUUAGAAGAGAUGACUCCAUCUCUAAGGCUCCCGAGACACGGUUCGCAAU
ensembl:misc_RNA